CGUCUCCUGGGAAGGGCGAGGGGCUGUCAGAGGCCGAGCCCCGCUGCCUCCAGCCCGCCCACCCUCCAGAUUCCAGUCCCCAAGCCUUUGUCCCACCCAGAACGCCCUCACCACCCUCCUCUACCUAGGCUGCCUGUCUAACAUCCUCCCUGUGGGAUCCUUGUGCCGCCCCCUCACUCCCACCCUCGACCCCAGGGGUCGCCACACACUCUAAGGUUGAACACCGCCAGCUGUGGGCAGCCUCAUUCCUUUCAUCAUCCCAACCACCCUUCUGGGUACAGGAUGUCAGCCUCAUUGCUGAGGCUCAGAGAGGGCAAGCAACUUGCACAGGGUCACCCAGCAGGGAAGUGGCAGAGCUGGACUCGAACCCCAAAUCAGCUGCCUCCCAAGCCUGUGACUCUGCUAAGACUCCAGAAUGAGCUUAGAUGGAACUGGAACACAAACGUGGCCUUAGAGAACCCAAAUCACAGCCUGGGCAGCUGGACAGUGGGACAAGACCAGGGGCUGAGCAACUCCUGUCCUGCAGGAAAGCCCUAAUGGGGGUGCUUCUGGCAGAAUGCGUAAGGCCCUGGCCCCACUGGCCUUCUCUCUCCUCAGAAAGACUUGCUGGAUUCCUCCCGUUUCUUUCAUGAACAUUCCCUCCUCCCUGCCUUUCCCAUGCUGUCACCAAAGCCUGGAACACCCUCCCCACCCAACUCUUUACCUGCGUUGUUCCUACUGAACCCUCAGGUCUCAGCUUAGGGUCCCCUGCUCUGGAAGCCCCUUUGAGCCCUCCAGCCAGGUCAGAAGCCUCAGUCAGUAGCUGAGAUCUGCUGUGAGGCAUUCAUCACUUGUAUUUUUGUUUCCGCAUCUGUCUCCACUAAGCCUGGGAGAGCCUCUAGGCUCUGAACUGGGUCUGAAUUAGCUCCUGAUCCCAGAGCAGUGGCCCAAAGGCACACCAGGGAGGCUGUGAGGGCUGAGAAAAUACUCUUCUGAAACAAAGGCCCUAACACGUCCUCUGUUCUGUCCUGGGCUUGCUCUGAGCCCCUGCAGGAAGCCAGUCUUCCCCUGAGCCGCAGUUCCCACAUCCGUAUAAGGGAUCCUAUGGGCCUGCCCCUGCCCGCUCUGAGCCACUCUUUCCACAUCUGCACUAAGAACAUAAUCCCUCCUGGCAGUCAGCGGAGGAUAAAGUGAAGUCAGAUCUUGAGGGAAAGGCUGGGGAGGCGGCGGUCCCUCUGGCGGUGACACGGCUGCCCCGCGCUCAGGUGCCCGUCCCCCAGCGGCCUCACCCGCAGGCAGCUGUACAUGCAGAUGGACAUCCAGUUGGUGAGCAUCUUCUCGACCACGGACUCCGUGCGCCGCAGCAUGAGCUUGGGGUUCUUGGCGGCCGAGGCGUCGAUGAGGUCCACCAGCAGCUCCUUCAUGAUGCCUGUGUAGUACUCAAGCUUGCCGUGGAGCGCGAUGGUCAGCAGGGAAGCCAGGUUGCACCUGUGGACCGACCAUACCAUGAGGCCCUGGGAUCUGAGGACCACGCGGCAGGGGCUCAGGUGCCACCUCGUCACUGUACACGGAUGGGUCAUCAGAGCCCAGAGAAGAGAAGUCAAGCUGACCUUGGGGAAGAAGGUGCGGGUCACAAAGUGCUUGUACUCCAGGAAGGGGAUGCCCUGGCUGCGGUUCAGCUCCUUGGUCAGAUCCGUCAUGUCCGUCUGCAGCUCCGCGAAGCCUGGUGGAUGGCAACCCAGCGUCUUCUGCCAGUAGCGCUCGGCGCGGCGACUCUUGGUGCAGAAGACAAACAGGGCUGUGGGCAGCGGAGAGGCGGCGGGUCAGGUGUUUGUUGGCACCGGCCGUGGGGAGGGCCUGGGCC